rnacentral:rRNA from 1 species
GAUGAACGCUGGCGGCGCGCCUAACACAUGCAAGUCGAACGGUUAAAGCACCUUUUAGGUGUGUAUAAGGUGGCGAACGGCUGAGUAACAAGUGGGCUACCCGCCCUCCUCUUGUGGGUAGCCUCGGGAAACCGAGGAUAAUAACCGAUACUGCAAUGUGGCCGCAUGGCGAGGUUGAGAAAGCUUUUGCGGAGAGGGAUGGGCCCGCGGCCUGUUAGCUUGUUGGUGGGGUAGUGGCCUACCAAGGCAAUGACGGGUAGCUGGGUUGAGAGACCGACCAGGCAACAUGGGACCUGAAAACGGCCCAGGACCCCAAGGGAGGCAGGCGGGGGGAAACAUGCAAAAAUGGCGGGAGCCUGAUGGCGCGAACCCGCGGGGGGGAAGAAGGGCUUUGGGGUGGAAACCGCCUUCAGCAGGGAAGGGGCGAUAAGUGACGGUACCUGCAGAAGAAGCCCCGGCUAACUACGUG